rnacentral:rRNA from 1 species
CCUACGGGAGGCAGCAGUGGGGGAUAUUGCACAAUGGGGGAAACCCUGAUGCAGCGACGCCGCGUGGGUGAAGGAGCGUUUCGGCGCGUAAAGCCCUAUCGGCAGGGGAGAAAGAGGACGGUACCUGACUAAGAAGCCCCGACUAACUACGUGCCAGCAGCCGCGGUACUACGGAGGGGGCGAGCGUUAUCCGGAUUUACUGGGUGUAAAGGGUGCGCAGACGGCGGCGCAAGCCAGGAGUGAAGGCCCGGGGCCCAACCCCGGGACUGCUCUUGGCACUGCGCGGCUGGAGUGCAGGAGGGGCAGGCGGAAUUCCUGGUGUAGCGGUGAAAUGCGUAGAUAUCAGGAGGAACACCGGUGGCGAAGGCGGGCUGCUGGACUGCGACUGACGUUGAGGCCCGAAAGCGUGGGGAGCAAACAGGAUUAGAUACCCUGGUAGUC